rnacentral:tRNA from 1 species
GCCCGAAUGGCUCAGUUGGUUAGCGUGUGAUGCUGAUAACGCCAAGGUUGCAGGUUCGAUCCCCGUAUGGGACA